AUCGAUGGCACGUUUUUCGAUGAAGUUGUUCCUUCGGCGCGGGAGCUCCUUACUCGUGACAAAGAAGGGAAGCCACUUCUCCCCAAGAGUUGCAGGCACCUCUUUUCCGCCUACUACCAUCUUUGGACGAAUGACCAAGGGGUAUGGAUGAAGGACUGGAUUCGCUUCUGGUUCAAAGGAGAGGCUAGGUAUAUGGCUCCUCCGAGUAGAGCGAAUAGAAGGAAGACCACAUCUAAACCAAAAAUGACUUACAACCCUUCUGGAAGCGUGGAGCCUUACGACCUUGCCGAUACGAAUGACUUCAAUGUCCCUUUUGACACCCUGGGUAUCCCAGGGUUUCUAAGAAAGGAAACCUAUAUUGCGGCAUUCAUAACGUGUUGGAUUUGCAAGUUCCUUUUGCCAAGCAAAAAGGUCGACCGUAUUCGCCCAAGUGUCUUCAAGGUUGCAUGCUUAAUGGCUACAGGGAAAAGAUUUUGUCUUGCAAUUUCCGUCCUUGCGAGCAUAUAUCAUGGGUUGAGGGAGAUCGUCCACGCCCCUAACCUUGGAGAAUGUGGGGUAACUUUUCCAAUCCAUUACGUCUAUGCUUGGAUUGGCCAAUACUUCGAUGUAUAUUACGAAAAUCAUCAAGUGAGUAGCCACCACGCGCGCAUGACAAGAUUUAGUGGUGAGAAAAUGACAAUAUUUUAUGGCCAAUUGGAAGCUGAGGAAAUUUUCAAAGAAACGAAUCCUUUGAUGCUUCCUAAAUUGUACUGGACUGAGAAUGAAGAAAAGGCGUUGAUCGAUGACGGAUCCUUAUCAUCAAGACUCACGAGCUACUUCAUUAGUCAACGCUCUUGCCAUUUAACUCUACGUAAGGACAAUACUUUCAUUAUUGAAAAAUAUAAUCCUUGCAGGUUCAGCAGACAAUUCGAUUUCUGUCAGGACAUCCCCAACAACUUGAAAGAGAUCACUCACACUUAUACUUUGGGUGAGGCUAUUCAACUAUGGGAUUCUUCGGUUCACACGCAGACGCGAUCUCGGAUGACUAUACCCACACACAGGAAGCAUCCGUUGAUCACAAAAGACUAUGAAGCCUGGUGGUCGACUCGGUCAAAUAGUGUCUCUUCAACUCCCUUAAAAUUCACCGUUAAGAUCUCUCAGCAAUCAGCGAAGAAGGGUAAGGUUACCUCCGCCAACGAGUCAGUGCAUCCUAAUGGAGUUAUAGAGAUUGUAACGGGUCUUACCUCAUCCACCUUGCGGAAGAACAAAACCAUUAGCAGCCCCUUGGAAAACAUUGUUACAAGAAAUAAGUCUUCCAAGGACUCUCGACAGGCCAUCAAAGAGGCGCAACCAGUGAUUCCAGCAAAGAAGAUGCCGCCCAAGGUUUCAAAAUCUUUAUCAGUGACUCACCCAGAAGAAAAUGUCGAAAUUGAAACGAUGGACGAUCGUGAUUCUCUCGAGGCUAUAGAACAAGAAGGGACUCAAGCUCAGGGCAUCUAAUCUACCCAAAGAGGAGCCCAUUCGUUGGCGAGUGGCAGUAGUAGCCAAGACCGUCAUUGGAACCGAUCGAAGAAGAGGACAUCUUCUGAUUUGGAGGAAGUUUCCUUUUCACCACCGUCGGUUGGAGUGUCACCACUUAAGGUAAUCAUAUCUUCCUUUUUUUUUUUUUAAACCCUCAUAACAUUUUUUUUCCCAACUCCCACUUCUUGAAUUCCACCAAGAAGAUGUUGGUACCAACUCACCACUUGAACUUGAGACUAAUGUUAUAAUUUCAAACAAGAAAGGUGACGAAGUCGUUAUCAGCAUUCUAAAACAACCUACCCCCAGUGGAGGUGCCUUGUCAAAGAAGGAGCUGACUAAUUUGCAUGAAAUCCGGAAAAAAUCUAAGGUAGCAUUGGUUUCAGAAUUUCAUGGUCAAAAAUUGAUCCAAGCGCAUCGGAGAAAGUACUUGCAAAGUUUGUGGAUGGAUUUUUGCGGACAGAUUCUUGACACCCCAAUUGAGCAGAUUUCUUCUUUAAAAGAGUGUGCAGAGGAAAUCAUUGCGAAAAUCACAAGAACGGAUCCUACCAAUGGUCUCCCUUUAAAAAACCACUUGAUAGAAUUGUUUGCCAAGGCGGAGGCAUAUGAUCUUUUGGCAUCUUCAUCAUGGGAAAGGAUGAGCAAAGAAACACACGCAGAACUCCUUUCCAAAGCGACCAUCCAACUCGGGAGAGUUAAGGCAAAGGAAGAAGAACUAACGUGUCAUUUGCAAAGUCUUGAAGAAAAGUUACAAUCCAUUGAAGAUAGGAAGAAAGCUUUGCAACAGGAACUUAUUGAUUUGGAGAAACAAAGAAUGGAAAUCAGCUCAACCAUCGAUCAAAAGCAUGAGACCUUCAACGAGAUCCAGACCGAGAUAAGACAAGCACAUGAUGAGCUCUCUUCUAUUGAAAAUACCAGCAUCUUGACUGAUGACGCAGUGAAGGAACUUGAAGACAUGAAGUCUGCACUUGAAUCAUGCAAAAUAGCUGUAGUGGAUUAUAAAUUUGACAUUUAGACUUUUUACCAUGUCCUUUUCCUGAAUUUGUUCCAUUUUUUUUUUCAUGUAAUGAAUUUUUUUUUUGAAUAAAAUGCUUUCCGU
rnacentral:lncRNA from 1 species